rnacentral:rRNA from 1 species
GACGAACGCUGGCGGCGUGCCUAAUACAUGCAAGUCGAGCGCGGGAAGCAAGUGAUCGCCCUUCGGGGCGUGAACUUGUGGAACGAGCGGCGGACGGGUGAGUAACACGUGGGCAACCUGCCUGUAAGACUGGGAUAACUCGCGGAAACGUGAGCUAAUACCGGAUAACACCUUUUUUCUCAUGAUGAGAGGUUGAAAGGCGGCUUUUAGCUGUCACUUACAGAUGGGCCCGCGGCGCAUUAGCUAGUUGGUGAGGUAACGGCUCACCAAGGCAACGAUGCGUAGCCGACCUGAGAGGGUGAUCGGCCACACUGGGACUGAGACACGGCCCAG